rnacentral:rRNA from 1 species
UACGGAGGGAGCUAGCGUUGUUCGGAAUUACUGGGCGUAAAGCGCACGUAGGCGGCUUUGUAAGUUAGAGGUGAAAGCCUGGAGCUCAACUCCAGAAUUGCCUUUGAUACUGCAUGGCUUGAAUCCAGGAGAGGUGAGUGGAAUUCCGAGUGUAGAGGUGAAAUUCGUAGAUAUUCGGAAGAACACCAGUGGCGAAGGCGGCUCGCUGGACUGGUAUUGACGCUGAGGUGCGAAAGCGUGGGGAGCAAACAGG